AGUCGAGCGCGAAAGGCCCGCAAGGGCUGAGUAAAGCGGCGGACGGGUGAGUAACGUAUGGACAAUCUACCUUCGACCCGGGGAUAACAGUUGGAAACGACUGCUAAUACCCGAUGGCUCCGAUAGCGUACUUCGCAGUCGGAUAAAGGGGUGCAAAUCCCAGUCGAUGAGGAGUCCAUAUCCCAUCAGCUAGUUGGCGGGGUAAUGGCCCACCAAGGCAACGACGGGUAGCCGGACUGAGAGGUCGACCGGCCACAUCGGGACUGAGACACUGCCCGGACUCCUACGGGAGGCUGCAGUCGAGAAUCUUCCGCAAUGUGCGAAAGCAUGACGGAGCGACGCCGCGUGUAGGAUGAAGGCCUUCGGGUUGUAAACUACUGUCACCCGUUAAGAACGUUCGGACUAACUCUCCGAGCUGACGUUAGCGGGUAAGGAAGCCACGGCUAACUUCGUGCCAGCAGCCGCGGUAAGACGAAGGUGGCAACCGUUGCUCGGAUUCACUGGGCAUAAAGCGCGCGUAGGUGGCUAGGCAGGUCACUGGUGAAAUCCCACGGCUCAACCGUGGACCCGCCAGUGAAACCGCCUUGCUUGAGGACGAGAGGGGAGAUUGGAACUCUUGGUGUAGCGGUGAAAUGCGUAGAUAUCAAGAGGAACGCCGGUGGCGAAAGCGAAUCUCUGGAUCGUUCCUGACACUGAGGCG
rnacentral:rRNA from 1 species